GCCUGGGCCUGAGGUCUCGGCUCGGGACGGGGAUCCGGGAACCGCGUCCUGCUCGGCGGCACCCUGGGCCCCGCGGGUGCCCGUCCCCAGCCCGGCCUGCUCUCGGAGGGGGCGCCGGGGGAGCAGCCCGGGGCAGGGGCGCCCGUGGGAAGGCCGAGACCACCGCACCCCGGGGUCGGGUCUCCUGGGGGGAAACUGCGGCGACGCCUUCCUCCUAUGGCUUUCACUGGGCUCCUUUGAUCGUGCUUUGCAAGAAGCUGUUCACAGGAUGUGUGGACCAGUGCUUCGCUGACUCAGCAGGGCCCACUGCCAUCUCCAGAGCGCCUCACCUUAAUACUCCAUGCUGCCCUAGAGUUGCAACAAAGCACCCUGGACUGGAGCUGUGUCCACAGCCAAUCAGCUGGCAACCCCAGUGAGUCUCACAGAGGUGGAGGGCAGGGGAGCCAGCGUUCACCCUGUUUCCUGUGGUCUCCACUGGUCCAUUUGUUGCAUAAAAGAUGGACUAAGCUGAAACCUUGGCCUAGACACUCGCAAGGUGUGACACCCCAACAAACUCUGCUUCUAAUUGAUAGGUGAGUGCCAGCACUUGGAUAUCUGUGGCAGAAAGGCUGGGAUAAUCUCCAGUUUUCUUUGAAAACUCAGUCACUGUAAAGAGGGUCCCAAAUCGCAUUAGAAACAAGACUUAUAACCAUAGAUAACCAAAGAGACUGAAAAGAACUCAGGAUCAAUAUCCCAGAAAUCCUCUUAAUACUUUCGUCCAGGGAUCCCUGGGUGGCGCAGCGGUUUGGCGCCUGCCUUUGGCCCAGGGCGCGAUCCUGGAGACCCGGGAUCAAAUCCCACGUUGGGCUCCCGGUGCAUGGAGUCUGCUUCUCCCUCUGCCUAUGUCUCUGCCUCGCUCUCUCU